CUCACCACUCGCUUGUGGUCGAAUUCUGUGUUCACAAAAACCACUCUGCAACCAUUCUCGACCAAUUUCUGUGACAGGAUCAUGAAGAGGUUCACAUGCCCUUGUGCUGGAAGAGAUGACGAGGAAGUUACUUAGGAGAGAGCCUUGGAAGGAAACAUAGAUGUUGCAGCUUAGUUCUUUAGGCCUUGUUAUUUUGAUCUCAAUUUAUUCUGAAGAACUUUAUCAUGUUUUUAAAGUUUUAAAUUCCUAGUCUUUUUACAAGAGGUCUAUGAUACUCCAAUUCUAGAUUCUUGUACUGUUUAAGGAUGACUGUAAACACCUCCAUUAUUCUCUAA